CAGCCCGCCGCGGUAAUACGUAGGGCGCAAGCGUUAUCCGGAAUUAUUGGGCGUAAAGAGCUCGUAGGCGGUUUGUCGCGUCUGCCGUGAAAGUCCGGGGCUCAACCCCGGAUCUGCGGUGGGUGCGGGCAGACUAGAGUGAUGUAGGGGAGACUGGAAUUCCUGGUGUAGCGGUGAAAUGCGCAGAUAUCAGGAGGAACACCGAUGGCGAAGGCAGGUCUCUGGGCAUUAACUGACGCUGAGGAGCGAAAGCAUGGGGAGCGAACAGGAUUAGAUACCCCUGUAGUCCCUGUCUCUUAUA
rnacentral:rRNA from 1 species